GGAAACGACGUCUAAUACCGGAUACGAGCUUCCACCGCAUGGUGAGUUGCUGGAAAGAAUUUUGGUCAAGGAUGGACUCGCGGCCUAUCAGCUUGUUGGUGAGGUAAUGGCUCACCAAGGCGACGACGGGUAGCCGGCCUGAGAGGGUGACCGGCCACACUGGGACUGAGACACGGCCCAGACUCCUACGGGAGGCAGCAGUGGGGAAUAUUGCACAAUGGGCGAAAGCCUGAUGCAGCAACGCCGCGUGAGGGACGACGGCCUUCGGGUUGUAAACCUCUUUUAGCAGGGAAGAAGCGAAAGUGACGGUACCUGCAGAAAAAGCACCGGCUAACUACGUGCCAGCAGCCGCGGUAAUACGUAGGGUGCAAGCGUUGUCCGGAAUUAUUGGGCGUAAAGAGCUCGUAGGCGGUUUGUCGCGUCUGCUGUGAAAUCCCGAGGCUCAACCUCGGGUCUGCAGUGGGUACGGGCAGACUAGAGUGCGGUAGGGGAGAUUGGAAUUCCUGGUGUAGCGGUGGAAUGCGCAGAUAUCAGGAGGAACACCGAUGGCGAAGGCAGAUCUCUGGGCCGCUACUGACGCUGAGGAGCGAAAGGGUGGGGAGCAAACAGGCUUAGAUACCCUGGUAGUCCACCCCGUAAACGUUGGGCGCU
rnacentral:rRNA from 1 species